UGUUGUGUGUAGCAAUGUUUCUGUGUAGGUAUUUCAUAUGCUGCUAGUAUGCAGAGAGAGCUCUUUAGUACAGCUAUAGAGGGUUGUGUAGUGGGGGAAGACAAAGGAAGUAAAAAGUAAAGGAGAAGAUCCUUAUUCAAACUGAUCCACACCUGAACAGUUUGGGAAUUUCUCCCAGCACUGGUGAUUUUCAAGAUGUCAGCCCCUUCAGUUUGUUACUUUCUCAUAACAGAUAGAAGAAUCAGCAAUGUUCCAUUUUUAAAGUAUUACUGAAGUAUUGAAAGAGUGGUAAUCAUUUUAGAAGAGGAAUACGUUUUUAUCAGAAAGUAGCCCAUUUCCACCUGUGUGGCAUGAUGCUGUGUACAAAGCACUACAUAGGUAUAGUGCAAGCUUUCCCAUACCUCUCUGCUCAUGUAUUCAUAACCAGAACAAGGAGGACCAUCUGUAAAGGAUGAGAAGGGCCUUCCUGUGAGGCAGAGUUAAGGGAGUUUGGAUGCCUUGUCUGAGAAGACGACUGGGUGAGACGUGGGCACGGAGUGGGAGGAAGAUACCGAUGGAUAUUGCUUUCAUUCCCAAGGACCUUCUCUGAUCUGCGGCACUGGAAAACCUACAGCAAGCCAUAAGACGCUCACAGCCCCUUCCCAUGAACCUUUUGUUGGAACAAUAUCCUUAUUUCCAUUGACAAACCUUCCUAGAGAUCAGGUUCUGCAUUAUGUCUAUCUCUGAAAGGGAAAAAGGUGUAGAUUUCCUUCUUUUUUUUUUAAUGAAAGUGUAUGUCCUGCUAUACUGAGCUUUCCAGAAUCACUGAUCCAUAACUAUGUUCCAGAUUCAAAAGUUAAUACCUGUUGAAAUUAGACUUUAAUCAACUAAAGUAUGAUACCAUGCACUGGAUCUCAACCAGGGAACUGAGUAAACAAAGUCUAAUUUCUGUUCUGCUUUCUAUUUCUCUGGUCCAAAGUAGUAAAAAGUACAAGCAGAGACUUUCUGAACUCUAAAAAUACCUCUAUUCCAUAAUUCAGUGACACCCCUUCCCCAACCAGUUCAAAUGUUGUAGAAAAUAUCUACAGAGGCCUCAGAUCUAACUUACCACUGUUGAGGCUGAUAUACUUUACCCUGUGGGUUUUAGAGGAAACAUAAAACAGGCUUAUAAAACUCAUUUGCAACUCUUUUUGCUCCAUAAAAAAGAAACCAUACACCACUGAAGCUACACAACAACAUCAAAGUAACGGGCCAGAGUAAAGCAUGCAAAAGGGAAUGACACAUAAGAGAUAAAUCCUUAUAAUUUGAUGGCUGGCUUUGUUUUACGAUUUUGUAACUUAUUUAUCAGGAAAAAACAGAGGAAUUUCAAAACAACUAUUCUGGGCACCUCUCCAGCAUUAAGUGCACCUUUUUAUGCCUUAAACUUAAUUAUUGUUCAUGUUUGUUCUCUAAUCAUUCAUUAUUUGUAGAUGCCACAAAACUAUCCACGAAGAGCUGGCAGAACAAACAUUAGUCCCCUUAGAUUUCUUUUAUUAUUGUUAUUAUUAUUAUUAUUAUUAUUAUUAACCAGAUGCUGUAAAGUUUGUAUAGAGUAAUUCUGUGAACUCAGCAAAGUGGGGGGAGAAAGGGCAGCGGUUUGUGAAUUUAAAAA